rnacentral:rRNA from 1 species
GACGAACGCUGGCGGCGUGCCUAAUACAUGCAAGUCGAACGCAGUGGGGACGGGUGAGUAACACGUGGGUAACCUCCCAUCAGAGGGGAUAACACUUGGAAACAGGUGCUAAACCGCUACUGAUGGAUGGACCCGGGGUGGGUUAGCAAGUUGGUGAGGUAACGGCUCCCCAAGGCAACGAUGCAGAGCCGACCUGGAAGGUGGAUCGGCCCCCGGGGGACUGAGACACGCCCAAGACUCCUACGGGAGGAAGAAGUAGGGAAUCUUCGGCAAUGGACGAAAGUCUGACCGACCAACGCCGCGUGAGUGAAGAAGGUUUUCGGAUCGUAAAACUCUGUUGUUAGAUAAGCGGUAUCUAACCAGAAAGCCACGGCUAACUACGUGCCAGCAGCCGCGGUAAUUC